UUCUUCGGUGGUAAAUACUACUUGGAUACCCGUAGUAAUUCUAGAGCUAAUACAUGCUAAAAGUGAUGCUUGCAUCACUGAGCAAGUUACAGAUACAAACCAAUAUUUGGUGAUUCAUAACUUUUUUUCUGAUUGCCCCAGUAGGGGCGACACACCGUUCAAAUUUCUGACCUAUCAACUUUGGAUGGUAAGGUAUUGUCUUACCAUGGUUGUGACGGGUAACGGACCGUGGGUGCGGGACUCCGGAGAGGGAGCCUGAGAAACGGCUACCACAUCCAAGGAAGGCAGCAGGCGCGCAAAUUACCCAAUCCGGACACCGGGAGGUAGUGACAAGAAAUAGCAAUAGAGGGCCCAACGGGUUUUCUAAUUGGAAUGAGUACUAGGUAAACAGAAUAACGAGGAACCAGCGGAGGGAAAGUCUGGU
rnacentral:rRNA from 1 species